AUCUAUUGCCGUGCCACCCUGAACAAGCCCAAUUCCGACCACGGAAGCUAAGCAGGGUCGGGCCUGGUUAGUACUUGGAUGGGAGACCACCUAGGAAGACCAGGUGCUGUAGGCA
rnacentral:rRNA from 1 species